GACCCAAUGGCACAACGGCUAGUGCGCCUGCUGACAUUAGUUGGAAAUGAUUGAGUUUGUGCAGGAGGUCCCUGUUCGAUUCGGGGUUGGGCCA